rnacentral:rRNA from 1 species
AACGGAUGAGAAGCUUGCUUCUCUGAUGUUAGCGGCGGACGGGUGAGUAACACGUGGAUAACCUACCUAUAAGACUGGGAUAACUUCGGGAAACCGGAGCUAAUACCGGAUAAUAUUUUGAACCGCAUGGUUCAAAAGUGAAAGACGGUCUUGCUGUCACUUAUAGAUGGAUCCGCGCUGCAUUAGCUAGUUGGUAAGGUAACGGCUUACCAAGGCAACGAUGCAUAGCCGACCUGAGAGGGUGAUCGGCCACACUGGAACUGAGACACGGUCCAGACUCCUACGGGAGGCAGCAGUAGGGAAUCUUCCGCAAUGGGCGAAAGCCUGACGGAGCAACGCCGCGUGAGUGAUGAAGGUCUUCGGAUCGUAAAACUCUGUUAUUAGGGAAGAACAUAUGUGUAAGUAACUGUGCACAUCUUGACGGUACCUAAUCAGAAAGCCACGGCUAACUACGUGCCAGCAGCCGCGGUAAUACGUAGGUGGCAAGCGUUAUCCGGAAUUAUUGGGCGUAAAGCGCGCGUAGGCGGUUUUUUAAGUCUGAUGUGAAAGCCCACGGCUCAACCGUGGAGGGUCAUUGGAAACUGGAAAACUUGAGUGCAGAAGUAGGAAAGUGGAAUUCCAUGUGUACGGUGAAAUGCGCAGAGAUAUGGAGGAACACCAGUGGCGAAGGCGACUUUCUGGUCUGUAACUGACGCUGAUGUGCGAAAGCGUGGGGAUCAAACAGGAUUAGAUACCCUGGUAGUCCACGCCUGUAAACGAUGAGUGCUAAGUGUUAGGGGGUUUCCGCCCCUU